AGUCAUCAUGGCCCUUACGCCCAGGGCUACACACGUGCUACAAUGGGGAGUACAGAGGGUAGCUACCUGGCAACAGGAUGCCAAUCUCAAAAAGCUCUUCACAGUUCGGAUUGAGGUCUGCAACUCGACCUCAUGAAGUUGGAAUCGCUAGUAAUCGCAUAUCAGCGAUGAUGCGGUGAAUACGUUCCCGGACCUUGUACACACCGCCCGUCAAGCCAUGGGAGUUGGGAGGACCUGAAGAUGGUUGCUGCGAGGCGCUGUUUAGGGUUAAACCAGCGACUGGGGCUAAGUCGUAACAAGGUAACC
rnacentral:rRNA from 1 species